AAUGGGAUAACUGGGACAAAUCAUGGUUCUAGUCUAAGUUUUUUGAGGAAUUUCCAUAUUGCUUUCCAGAGUGAUUGCACCAAUUUGCAGUCCCACCAGUAAU
rnacentral:pre_miRNA from 1 species